rnacentral:rRNA from 1 species
AUGAAGGCGAACCUCGACGCGGCCGGGCUGUGGGAGGCGGUGGUCGUGCCGGAGGACGCGGCGGCGGCCGUGAUCGCCAAGAAGGACAAGCCAGCGAGGGCAUACCUGCUCGGCGCGCUCGCGGAGAACCUGCUGCUGCAGGUGGCGGCGAAGAAGACCGCCGCGGAGGUGUGGGCUGCUCUGAAGGCUCGGUUCGUCAGCGCGGACCGCGUGCGGGCGGCGCGGCUGGGCACCCUGCGCGGGGAGUUUGAGCUCCUGCGCAUGGCGGACGCCGAGAGCCUGGAUGACUUCGCCGGCAGGCUCGGUGGGAUGGCGGCGCGCUACGCGGCGUUGGGCUCGACCCUGAAGGACGCCGCCCUCGUCAAGAAGCUGCUCGACUCGGUGCCGAACCGCCUGUACCCAACGGUGGCCGGGAUCGAGCAGUUCUGUGACGUCGACGACAUGGCAUUCGAGGAUGCGUUGGGACGGCUAAAGGCCUUCGACGAGAGGCUGCGACGGCGCGGGCAGGAUGGAGGCAACCAAGGCGGCGGUGAGCAGCUGCUGUACACCGCGGCGCAGUGGCGUGCGCGCGAGCGGCGUCGGGGCGGUGCACGCGGAGAGGACGACGACGACGGCGCGACGAGCACGGCAUCAGGCGGCGGGGACAAUCGUCGCGGGAAGUGCUACAAGUGCGAUGUCAGAGGGCACUUCAAGAGGGAGUUCCCCUGA